rnacentral:lncRNA from 1 species
UCCGCGGUCUGCGGCGCCGCGCCCUCAGCAGCGCAAGCAGGCUCGACCACCCCCUGGCCGGCGACGUGGUCGGGGUUGACAUCCGACGCCGCGCUAAAGAACAAAGUACUAUCUUCAAAAAAAAGAAAAAGAAAAAAAAGAAAAUUCGCCAUAAUACGUAAGUCGAACACUUACAGGUCUGAUCGACGGUGGGUCGCGGUGAACCUCCUCCUAGCUCUGCCGGUCGGCACCUGCACCUCCGUUUCGACAACGCGCGAAGCAGGAGGGUCGCUGGCCACCCGGUCAGU